UACGGGGGGGGUAAGCGUUGUUCGGAAUUACUGGGCGUAAAGGGCUCGUAGGCGGCCAACUAAGUCGGACGUGAAAUCCCUCAGCUUAACUGGGGAACUGCGUCCGAUACUGGAUGGCUUGGAUUCGGGAGAGGAAUGCGGAAUUCCAGGUGUAGCGGUGAAAUGCGUAGAUAUCUGGAGGAACACCGGUGGCGAAGGCGGCAUUCUGGACCAGACAUGACGC
rnacentral:rRNA from 1 species